rnacentral:rRNA from 1 species
UACGGAGGGUGCAAGCGUUGUCCGGAAUCACUGGGCGUAAAGCGCGCGUAGGCGGACGUUUAAGUCAGGGGUGAAAUGCCGGGGCUCAACCUCGGAACUGCCUUUGAUACUGGACGUCUGGAGUUCGGGAGAGGUGAGUGGAAUUCCGAGUGUAGAGGUGAAAUUCGUAGAUAUUCGGAGGAACACCAGAAGCGAAGGCGGCUCACUGGCCCGAUACUGACGCUGAGGCGCGAAAGCGUGGGGAGCAAACAGG